AAGGAGACUUACUGAUGAAGAUAGAGAUUCCUUGGGGUUCCGAUCAGUGCCUACUGAUCUUAAAAGGGCAAAAAAGAAAAAGUUUAAGGAGAAAUGGAACAGGUCAGGUGGUAAGUCCAGGAUGAAGGGUGGCUGUAUGGUUGAUGAUUCUGGUGACUUAUCUAGAAGACAGUGGAGAGCAAACCGUUCGAGAUCUCAUUCAAAGCUUACUUCAAAGAGCCCGAAAGUUUACUCUUCUGCUUCUGCUGCUCAUUAUUCAACGUCUCAAUUUCCUUUAAUGAUUCACAUGCCCUUUAUAGGAACUCCCAAUUCUAAUGCUUACCCCAGCAGCCAUCAGAAUGGGUACUUUACCCCAAUAUAUCAUGAUGCAUCACAAAAUUACUUUGUCAAAAUGUAGUUUGAAGGUUCUCCAGUCAAAAGCAGAAGGAAGCUAGUUCUAUAGCUCAGGAAAACCAUUGCCUCACAAUUCACAUCAUGUUUUCUUCUUUCUGUUUUACUGCUAAGGAGAUCCGGGUCUCACGAACCUUCCUUGAAGUGAUGUUGGCCAAGUGGCUCUGCCGCAACAAUUUCGGUAUCCGACAUCUCUUCAUGCGUUUGCUGCUGGCUUGAUGUAUAUUAGAUUACUUGUACCUGAAAGCAGCUUGCAGAUUGUGUUAUAGAAAGCACACAACGAGCUGUAUAUUUCAUCUUGAUUUUUGUUGAAUUAAAUUUUUUUUUUGAAGUGUUACCAAAAUAUUGCCCUGGAAUUAAGAAACCUAGGAAUGGAGAUGCUGAUGAAUUCGAGCUUUCUUCAACUAUUUGGGGUUUUUUAAUUGGAGUUUGAUUUGUGCUGGAAAUCCAAUGGUGUAUGAAUUUCUUAGUAGGAGAAACUCUAAGAUCUUUUUGCUAAUUGCAUUUCCCCGUUCAGGA